AAUCAACGCUGGCGGCGUGCCUCAGACAUGCAAGUCGAACGAUUAAAGCUCUCUUCGGAGAGUGUAUAAAGUGGCGCACGGGUGAGUAACACGUAAGUAAUCUACCCUCGAGUGGGGAAUAACGUCCGGAAACGGACGCUAAUACCGCAUAAUGCAGCGGCACCGCAAGGUGACAGUUGUUAAAGAUUUAUCGCUUGAGGAGGAGCUUGCGGCAGAUUAGCUAGUUGGUAAGGUAACGGCUUACCAAGGCUACGAUCUGUAACCGGUCUAAGAGGACGGUCGGUCACACUGACACUGAAUAACGGGUCAGACUCCUACGGGAGGCAGCAGUCGGGAAUUUUGGGCAAUGGGCGAAAGCCUGACCCAGCAACGCCGCGUGAAGGAUGAAGUAUUUCGGUAUGUAAACUUCGAAAGAAUAGGAAGAAUUAAUGACGGUACUAUUUAUAAGGUCCGGCUAACUACGUGCCAGCAGCCGCAGUAAGAC
rnacentral:rRNA from 1 species